rnacentral:lncRNA from 1 species
UUAGCAUAAGCAAAUUAACAGUGUGCUCUGAUGGGAGUCUUAGUCCCAGAGAUUGAUGCCUGGUAUUCAAAUGAAUCACAUGCCCCCUAAAAUAGAGUAGACCAAAUAUACAUUCGAGUCUUAGAGCUUUGCAGCUGGGCCUGGUGCCAAUUUGCUACACAGCUGAUUUCAAACGGGAGAAGAGGCAUUUUCUGUAGACUGCGUUCCUAAAAGCAUCCGCCUGCUGAUGAAAGUUUCUGCCCAGGUCUCAGUGUCCAGAGACAAAAGAGAGGAUGUUUGCUUCUUCCCAGCUGGAAAUUUUACGCAGGCCAUCCUUGUGUUGUUCCAGCCCGUGGCUUGAUAAUUAACCUGAGGGAAUGACCAAGAUUAGAUUUUUGUGCUCCCAGCAUGUGCCAGUAGUUGGAGGCAGGAGAUGAGUGCCAAAUUAUCCCAAAUUGAAAUUUACAGCACAUAAGUCAGAAGCAGCCAAAUUAAGCCUGGCUUUGGAAACCUUCCAGUCUUAUACGUUGAAGAACCAGAAACAAAAGAAAAAAAGAAAUACAGAUACAAGAACUACCAAUUCUAUGAGAAUAGCACUAGGCCAGGCGUGGUGGCCUUUAAUCCCAGCACUCCGGAGGCAGAGGCAAGCGGAUUUCUGAGUUCGAGGCCAGCCUGGUCUACAAAGUGAGUUCCAGGACAGCCAGGGCUGUAGUCCCCCCUCCCCCAGCCUGAAACCUGCUUGCUCAGGGGUGGAGCUUCCUGCUCAUUCGUUCUGCCACGCCCACUGCUGGACCUUGCAGCUUUGCUGUUUGGAGCCACAUCGUGCUCACCCUGCUACUGGAUUCCGAGAUUAUUUGGCGGGAAUCGGGUCCCCUCCCCCUUCCUUCAUAACUGAGUGUCGCAACAGUAAAAUUGAGCUUUGAUCAGAGU